rnacentral:rRNA from 1 species
ACCGUAAAGUGAAAAAUGGCGACCGGGUGACUAACCCGUGGGUAACCAGCCCAUCAAAAGGGGAUAACACUUGGAAACAGGUGCUAAUACCGUAUAACAAUCGAAACCGCAUGGUUUUGAUUUGAAAGGCGCUUUCGGGUGUCGCUGAUGGAUGGACCCGCGGUGCAUUAGCUAGUUGGUGAGGUAACGGCUCACCAAGGCCACGAUGCAUAGCCGACCUGAGAGGGUGAUCGGCCACAUUGGGACUGAGACACGGCCCAAACUCCUACGGGAGGCAGCAGUAGGGAAUCUUCGGCAAUGGACGAAAGUCUGACCGAGCAACGCCGCGUGAGUGAAGAAGGUUUUCGGAUCGUAAAACUCUGUUGUUAGAGAAGAACAAGGAUGAGAGUAACUGUUCAUCCCUUGACGGUAUCUAACCAGAAAGCCACGGCUAACUACGUGCCAGCAGCCGCGGUAAUACGUAGGUGGCAAGCGUUGUCCGGAUUUAUUGGGCGUAAAGCGAGCGCAGGCGGUUUCUUAAGUCUGAUGUGAAAGCCCCCGGCUCAACCGGGGAGGGUCAUUGGAAACUGGGAGACUUGAGUGCAGAAGAGGAGAGUGGAAUUCCAUGUGUAGCGGUGAAAUGCGUAGAUAUAUGGAGGAACACCAGUGGCGAAGGCGGCUCUCUGGUCUGUAACUGACGCUGAGGCUCGAAAGCGUGGGGAGCAAACAGGAUUAGAUACCCUGGUAGUCCACGCCGUAAACGAUGAGUGCUAAGUGUUGGAGGGUUUCCGCCCUUCAGUGCUGCAGCUAACGCAUUAAGCACUCCGCCUGGGGAGUACGACCGCAAGGUUGAAACUCAAAGGAAUUGACGGGGGCCCGCACAAGCGGUGGAGCAUGUGGUUUAAUUCGAAGCAACGCGAAGAACCUUACCAGGUCUUGACAUCCUUUGACCACUCUAGAGAUAGAGCUUCCCCUUCGGGGGCAAAGUGACAGGUGGUGCAUGGUUGUCGUCAGCUCGUGUCGUGAGAUGUUGGGUUAAGUCCCGCAACGAGCGCAACCCUUAUUGUUAGUUGCCAUCAUUCAGUUGGGCACUCUAGCAAGACUGCCGGUGACAAACCGGAGGAAGGUGGGGAUGACGUCAAAUCAUCAUGCCCCUUAUGACCUGGGCUACACACGUGCUACAAUGGGAAGUACAACGAGUUGCGAAGUCGCGAGGCUAAGCUAAUCUCUUAAAGCUUCUCUCAGUUCGGAUUGC